CCGGUGCCCAACGGAGUCCAACGGCGCGCAAGGGACUCGCUCCGUUGGCUCGGAUACCACCUGUGUGAAGACUUUCCUGGUCACUCCUGGUUUUAUGCCAUUUCCAAGGUUUCUCUUUCGUUCUCUGAUGGUAUAUUUCAGACAAGGUUUAUUUAUUCAUUCUACAAUAUUUAUUGAAUGCCUGCUCUUUGUCCGGCAUUGUUCUUGCUGUUGAUAAAGGUUUCUCCUCAAGCUUACACUGCAAUGAGGGAAACAGACAAUAAAUAUAUGAUAUGGCAGGCGGUGUUUACAUGCCAAGAAGAAAAGUAAAUCAGGUCCAGGGGACAGAGUGAUGGUCUUGAAGCAGGGU